rnacentral:rRNA from 1 species
AAUCAACGCUGGCGGCGCGCCUAACACAUGCAAGUCGAACGAGAAAGUGGAGCAAUCCAUGAGUAAAGUGGCGUACGGGUGAGUAACACGUGGAUCAUCUACCCUCUAGUGGGGAAUACCGCUGGGAAACCGGCGACAAUACCGCAUAAGCUCGAGAGAGGAAAGCAGCAAUGCGCUGGAGGAGGAGUCCGCGGUCGAUUAGUUAGUUGGCGGGGUAAAGGCCCACCAAGACUGUGAUCGAUAGCCGGCCUGAGAGGGCACACGGCCACA